UAACAGGGAGCUUGCUCCGCUGACGACCGGCGCACGGGUGCGCACCGCGUAUGGAACCUACCUUCUACAGGGGAAUAGCCCAGGGAAACUUGGAUUAAUGCCCCGUGGCACUACAUUAUGGCAUCAUGUUGUAGUUAAAGCCUUCGGGCGGUGGAAGAUGGCCAUGCGUCCCAUUAGCUGGAUGGUAAGGUAACGGCUUACCAUGGCUACGAUGGGUAGGGGCCCUGAGAGGGGGAUCCCCCACACUGGUACUGAGACACGGACCAGACUCCUACGGGAGGCAGCAGUGAGGAAUAUUGGACAAUGGAGGAGACUCUGAUCCAGCCAUGCCGCGUGCAGGAAGAAUGCCCUAUGGGUAGUAAACUGCUUUUAUACGGGAAGAAAAAGGGCUACGUGUAGCCUACUGACGGUACCGUAAGAAUAAGGACCGGCUAACUCCGUGCCAGCAGCCGCGGUAAUACGGAGGGUCCGAGCGUUAUCCGGAAUUAUUGGGUUUAAAGGGUCCGUAGGCGAGUCGGUAAGUCAGGGGG
rnacentral:rRNA from 1 species